rnacentral:rRNA from 1 species
CCUAACACAUGCAAGUCGAACGAGACCUUCGGGUCUAGUGGCGCACGGGUGCGUAACGCGUGGGAAUCUGCCCUUUGGUACGGAAUAACUCAGAGAAAUUUGUGCUAAUACCGUAUAAUGACUUCGGUCCAAAGAUUUAUCGCCAAAGGAUGAGCCCGCGUAAGAUUAGCUAGUUGGUGAGGUAAAAGCUCACCAAGGCGACGAUCUUUAGCUGGUCUGAGAGGAUGAUCAGCCACACUGGGACUGAGACACGGCCCAGACUCCUACGGGAGGCAGCAGUGGGGAAUAUUGGACAAUGGGCGAAAGCCUGAUCCAGCAAUGCCGCGUGAGUGAUGAAGGCCUUAGGGUUGUAAAGCUCUUUUACCCGCGAUGAUAAUGACAGUAGCGGGAGAAUAAGCUCCGGCU